rnacentral:rRNA from 1 species
CUGAGUUUGAUCCUGGCUCAGAACGAACGCUGGCGGCGUGCCUAACACAUGCAAGUCGAACGUGAUCCAUCCUUCGGGGUGGUGAAAGUGGCGCACGGGUGAGUAACGCGUGGAUAAUCUGCCCGAGGAUUUGGGAUAACAUCUCGAAAGGGGUGCUAAUACCGAAUAAGCCCACGGGGUCUACGGAUCUUGCGGGAAAAGGGGGGGACUUUCGGGCCUCCUGUCUUCGGAUGAGUCCGCGUACCAUUAGCUAGUUGGUAGGGUAAUGGCCUACCAAGGCGACGAUGGUUAGCUGGUCUGAGAGGAUGAUCAGCCACACUGGAACUGAGACACGGUCCAGACUCCUACGGGAGGCAGCAGUGGGGAAUUUUGCGCAAUGGGGGAAACCCUGACGCAGCAACGCCGCGUGAGUGAUGAAGGCCUUCGGGUCGUAAAGCUCUGUCAGAGGGGAAGAAGUGUGCGGGUGCUAAUAUCAUCUGCGCUUGACGGUACCCUCAAAGGAAGCACCGGCUAACUCCGUGCCAGCAGCCGCGGUAAUACGGAGGGUGCAAGCGUUGUUCGGAAUUAUUGGGCGUAAAGCGCGUGUAGGCGGUCUUUUAAGUCUGAUGUGAAAGCCCCGGGCUCAACCUGGGAAGUGCAUUGGAAACUGGGAGACUUGAGUACGGGAGAGGAGAGUGGAAUUCCUAGUGUAGGAGUGAAAUCCGUAGAUAUUAGGAGGAACACCCGGUGGCGAAGGCGGCUCUCUGGACCC